AUGUAAAAUAGUAUGUAUUUUAACUUACAUAUUUUAAACUUAGGUAAAUAAUUGAGUUAAGUAUGGUAAUAGGUCCUUAAGCUAACCUGAGCACUCUCUACUAAUCCUUAGGUAAAGUACAGGGUAUAGUUAUGUAAGGUCUUUAGUGAUCUGGUCCAGCCACAUCUUGGCCAGUGAUUGCCUUUUCUAUUGUUUCUGUAGCAUGUGACCAGGUUUUUAGCUUUAAACACUUCAAUAUUUCUCUUCUCUGGUCACUGCUGCAUUACAACUCUGCAUGAUUCACUGCACUGCACUGAUUGGGGCAUAGAGGCACAUAUAAAGCCAUACUGUUGGCAUUGACGUGAUGAGCCUGCGACCCUGAGACGAGGGAAUUAUCAUCCAUAGCCAUAUUGUGGUGGGAUCUCCAUAUCCCUGAUAUGAACAGACCGAAUAAAUCCCAUGAACCCCCAAACAAGUAUUCGUCGUCAUUACCUAGAC